rnacentral:lncRNA from 13 species
CAUCCGGACUCUCCCUGGUGCGGGCGGAAGUUUCUGGGGUGCCCUCCUACGCUGCGGCCUGGAGAGCCUUGCACCCCGCAAGUGUGCCCCUCCUCUCCCCGUCAGGCUGCGGGGCCGGCUGGUUGUGCAGGGCAGAGGAGGCCUGGGCGGCCGCCUCCUGUCACCCGCGCGACCACCGCGGGCCGACUCGGGGCGCGGCGGCGGCCGUGGCCGUGGCGGAGUCACCUCGCGCUCUGCCCGCCUGCUCUUCCCUUCCAGGAGAACCUGGGGUCGAGGAAGGCCGAGCCCGGCCCGCGCGCCCGAUUCCUCGGGUUCCCUGCGGGGCCGCCCCUCCCCGCGCCCGUCGCUGCAGCCUCCAGCCCUCCCGGGGAGGGAACUGCGGGGCGCUGGGUGCCCCCUGCCUUCGGAGGCCGUUCUCGGGAGAGCCGCCCCGUUUAGAAGGUGGAAAAGACGCAGAAAAAGAAGACAAGUAGACGAGGCCCCUACUCGCACAAAGCGCCACGGACCCUGCCCGCCCUGCCCUCCGCACUCCCUCGGGACGACGGCCGCGCGAUCUUUCUGGGGACGGUCUCGGCAGUACCCUGGGGUCCCAGGGGCUCGGAUCCCGGCGCCCGCGCCUCCGCCGGGGCGACCCCACAGCCAGGCUCCUGCCUCGGCACAGAACCUGCCUCGGCUGCCGGCCUCCAGCCCCCUUUCUAAAUUCCUGCGGGCUCGGAGUCGGGGUGACAGGGCCCGGGGACCGGGUGGCGGGGAGAGAGACCAGGCCUCCUCCGGUCGGGUGGGGAGGCGCGGCUGCGCUGGGGGCCGCUGUUUCGAGGGCAGCGCGGAGCCCUCUGCUGGGCGCGGCGUGACCGCUGGCUCCCCUGCAGCCACCAGGCCUUCUCGUCCUCCUUCCUCCCUGUGCAAAGCGGGGCUCAGUACCACGUGGAAAUCACCGCGGGACAAGCACCAGAGACGGGGUUUCACCAUGUUGACUGGGAUGGUCUCGAUCUCUUGACCUCGUGAUUCACCUGCCUCGGCCUCCCAAAGUGCUGGGAUUACAGGCUUGAGCCACCGCGCCUGGCCCCAGACCAGAAAUUUAAAACAACUAUGAUUAAUAUGCUAAGGGCUCUAAUGGAUAAAGCAGACAGUGUGCAAGAACGAUGAGUAACAUAAGCAGAGAGAUGAGAAUCCUAAGAAAGAACGCAAAAGAAGUGUAGAUUAAAAAACAAAAUGCCACUGCAACAGGAAUGAAGAAUGCCUUGAUAAGCUCAUUAGUAGACUGGACACAGCUGAGGAAAGAAUCUCUCAGCUUAAGGAUGUGUCAACAGAAACCUUCAGAGCUGCAAAGCAAAGAGAACAAAGAUUAGAAAAAAAAAAACCCACACACCCAAACCAAACCGGAAUAGAAAGCCAAG